AUUGAACGCUGGCGGCAGGCCUAACACAUGCAAGUCGAGCGAGCGGCGGACGGGUGAGUAAGGUAUGGGGACUGCCCGAUAGAGGGGGAUAACUACUGGAAACGGUAGCUAAUACCGCAUAAUGUCGGAUAAACACUAGGGGAUUAGAUAGUAGGUAAGGUAAUGGCUUACCAAGGCGACGAACCCUAGCUGGUCUGAGAGGAUGAUCAGCCACACUGGGACUGAGACACGGCCCAGACUCCUACGGAGGCAGCAGUGGGGAAUAUUGCACAAUGGGCGCAAGCCUGAUGCAGCCAUGCCGCGUGUAUGAAGAAGGCCCUAGGGUUGUAAAGUACUUUCAGUCGGGAGGCGUUACCGACAGAAGAAGCACCGGCUAACUCCGUGCCAGCCGCCGCGGUAAUAC
rnacentral:rRNA from 1 species